AUUCGCCUUAGAGUUUGAUCCUGGCUCAGGAUGAACGCUGGCGGUAUGCUUUACACAUGCAAGUCGUACGAGAGUUUUUAACUCAAGUGGCGGACGGGUGAGUAACACGUAAGAAUUUGCCUUUAGGAGGGGGAUAACAACUGGAGACGGUUGCUAAUACCCCAUAUGCUUUCGAGUAAAAUGGAUUUUCCGCCUAAAGAGAAGCUUGCGGCUGAUUAGCUUGUUGGUGAGGUAAUGGCUCACCAAGGCGACGAUCAGUAUCUGGUUUGAGAGGACGAUCAGACACACUGGAACUGAGACACGGUCCAGACUCCUACGGGAGGCAGCAGUGGGGAAUUUUCCGCAAUGGGCGAAAGCCUGACGGAGCAAUACCGCGUGAGGGAUGACGGCCUAUGGGUUGUAAACCUCUUUUUUCAGGGAGGAAUCAAUGACGUGUACCUGAAGAAUAAGCAUCGGCUAACUCCGUGCCAGCAGCCGCGGUAAGACGGAGGAUGCAAGUGUUAUCCGGAAUCACUGGGCGUAAAGCGUCUGUAGGUGGUCAAAUAAGUCAACUGUUAAAUCUUGAGGCUCAACCUCAAAAUCGCAGUCGAAACUAUUCGACUAGAGUAUAGUAGGGGUAAAGGGAAUUUCCAGUGGAGCGGUGAAAUGCGUAGAGAUUGGAAAGAACACCGAUGGCGAAGGCACUUUACUGGGCUAUUACUAACACUGAGAGACGAAAGCUAGGGUAGCAAAUGGGAUUAGAUACCCCAGUAGUCCUAGCCGUAAACAAUGGAUACUAGAUGUUGAACAGAUCGACCUGUGCAGUAUCAAAGCUAACGCGUUAAGUAUCCCGCCUGGGAAGUAUGCUCGCAAGAGUGAAACUCAAAUGAAUUGACGGGGAAGGGC
rnacentral:rRNA from 1 species